GACUUAUUUAUGUAAAUUAUGUAACAAAUGGACAAACUCCUUACUAUAUCAAUAUGAACUAGAACUCAAUUACAUAUUUGGAUAACAAUUCAACCCUCAAACUACUGAACUACAGUAAGAAAUUACAGGAAUCAAAGUAUUUAGGGAUAGAUAGAAGAAGGGGAUGAGAAGGUUAGACUCACAGAAAGGGAGACGAGGAGAUGCAUACAUUUUUCUCAACAAUAUGCAUAAUCUCCAAAAUAACCGAUCACUAUCCCUUUUUAACGAAACCUUCUUUGCGCCAAUACUCAACCUGGAUCCCAAAUCAACUUGGCCCUUUUGCUUGUUUUCGGCCCAAUAGCUCUUCUUGGCCCAAUAGUUACAUGUGUGAUAUUGGGGUGAGCCUGAUUCAUAACAAUACUCUCGUCCUCAAUGAGAACCUUGUCCUCAAGGUUCGAGUCAAGAAUAAUUUUAGAAGCAUGUUCUCCACCCAUUACAACCAAACCAAACUGUGCGAUGUUGCAAAAGAAUUGCAUGUGAUCCAGUGUACUUCUUGCAACAACAACCAACAUAGAAACAACAAGAAAUAUGUGCUUCUCAUUAUCAAAGCCCUCAUAGGCAAACAAGAUCUUUUCCAGCACAACUGGAGUGCAAACUUUAGCACCCAUAAACUGUAUAGCACAUGUAAAAACAAUUGCGUACUUGAAAGGAGAAAAUAUGACCCCAAUAGCAACCAAGCCACAUAUAUGUGCCAUAUCCCCAAAGAGAACAACUUCUCUCUUGUUACAUACCUUGCGGAUACAUGCGUAAUUAUAGAGGCGAGCGUAAGAACUUCCCUUGGCAGCAAGAAAGUUUGCUGUACAAUUUGUAUGAGGCUUUAAUAAAGCAGUGUACAUUUGAAAGUUUGCAGGGGUUCCAGUUGUUAACUGAACAUCGACCCUCCAUGCUUGACUUAAUCUCUCUGCCGUGUCAAUGUACUUGUCUCCUUCAUAAUAUCUUGUACUGAGAUGCCCCUCACUGUAUGUGAUUGUCAAUGUUAAUUUAACUACUGGCAUCACCAAUAGUGAUGUAAAAUUCGUUAAAGGGAUAAGCUCAAGAUCCCUCCAUUGCCUAGCUUUCUCAAGCUCAAUAAUGUCAGCACAAUCUAGAUCCAUGUCUUCAAGUAGCACAUUCCCCUGCGUUAUCCACAUAUGUCGCACUAGACUAACAGGAUUAAGUGCUAAGAAAACCUCGAGGGAACUACUAAAAUGUUCAUAUUCAUCAGUAUGUACAUGUUUCAGCCCAAGGCCACAAACUUGCGCACCCCAUAAUGUAACUAUUAAAACAUAAGUUGGAGGAAAACUACUCUCUGUAAACAUAGUCACGUUGGCGCCAUAGGGUAGAGGAAUAUCAUGUAUACCAGGAUCAAACGAAAGAGUUAAAAAGGUGACAUAAAUAAUGAAACUUGCUGAGGAACAAGAAUAAGGUUGCAGAUUCAUGCUCCAAGAAGAAUUGUUAUUUGGCGAAAGGCUUACUAGAGUCUUUGCGAGUAUAUUGCGCACAAAAUAAGCAGAAGAACUCAAAAUUGUCAUAUUGUGUUGCCUUCGCGCAUCCAUCAAUUGGUUUCCCUGUUUCUGCUCCAAAAUAUCAUGCAUACACUUUGCUGACACGAGAAAUUUCGAGAUUCUCACCUUGUCAUCAUCAGAAUGAAGUACUUUAACUGGAAGUUCAUGCUCAUACUCCAUAAAAAAUUAUCAAUAUGUCAAACCUCAAUAUUCUCAAGUACCCGAAAACAUUCAUUAAGAUACAUGGCAUUGAAGGCCUCAACACCAAAUUCAAUUCCAUAUAACUGCUCCCUAUCAUAUAACUUUGCAAAUAAACAACCCCAUCUUUUUUUUGUUGCUUCAAACAGAGUAAAAGUAUGGGCACCUGAUACAGAACUUAAAGGAAUAGGAGGAAGAGAUGCACAAACUGAAGCAAUGUCAAAUUUCUGCCCUGUGUCAAACCACUUGGCAAUAUAAUUAGAAAUCGGUAUUCCAGCAUCUCUUGCAUCCUUGCUAUGCUCUGAAUACAGAUGACAAUCCUUGUUUCGUUUGGCCACCAAUAACAGUGAAACAGCUUCAGGCGGAUCACGCCACCCAGUAGCAAACCAAUUGCAAGUGUAAGCUAAAGUCAAGGUACAGUGACACCAUAUUUUGAUUAGCCCCGCAACUUUCUUCAAGGGAAGUAGACAAAGAUGGAACUGUGUGAAACCAUAUGGUACCAUCAAGUGAAAAGUCUAUUGCAGCAAAUCGCAUACUCGCGUUCGAUACCACAAUUCCUUGACUAGCAAAAGGAACCAUAAAACCAGAUAUAAUACCUCUGAGGAGCUUUGUCAAACACCCGAGCUACAGGAGUAUCCUGUGAAUUUUCCUCCUCAGUAUUUUAGAGUAGUUUGUAUCAUUUAACACCGCAUUAGGUACCUUGGUUUUCAAGCUACAAUUUUCGCAGAAGCUAUCAUCGUCCAACUUGUCUAAUGUAGUUGCAAAGUGUCCUCCCUCAUGGACAAUAACAUUAAGAUCAUGAAUAUCGGAGUUCACUGCGGUGUGUGAAAUUUUGCCGAACAUCUGUGCUUCGAUAAUGGCAGAAGUGUCCUGUACCAUAUCUGCCACCUCUACUAAUUUUACAUGCCUAACUUGAGGUGCUUCUAUGUCUUCAAGAGAUUGAAUCUUAGUAUUACUUCCAGUAAUCAAUGCCAAGGAAUCUAUAUUUUCAUACCUCUCUGGCAAUUUAUCGAGCACAUGGUCCUCUUUUAAGUUUUCAGUGUCAUCGGCAGAUUCAAACGCAAAUAAAAAAUGGCUCAUAGCAGGAAAAGGAGACGCUAGAACUAAUUUUGAAACUGUAGGGAUAGAAUUGACGUAAUUAAAACAAACCUCUGAGGAAUAAGCUAGACUCCCUACAGGAUCUGUGGUGGGUUGUCGUCGAAAAUGUUGAGCAAAUUUUGCCUUAAAAUGUUUCCAAUUGAAAAAUUGAUUGUUUCGAAACAACCAAUUGAACCAAUUAAGAGCUUCACCGCCAAGGUAAAAGGAAGGAAGCGGUAACCAAUCCUUCUCGGCGAAGCCAAGGUAAGUGAAGUAUUGCUCGGCCCCAGCUCUCUGGGUUGCCGCUGCUGCUAAAUCGAUUCAGUACCUCCAUUGGAGUCCGAUGGAUAAAAGCACCAAUGUAACAAAUGGACAAACUCCUUGCUAUAUCAAUAUGAACUACAACUCAAUUACAUAUUUGGAUAACAAUUCAAUCCUCAAACUACCGAACUACACUAAGAAAUUACAGGAAUCAAAGUAACUAGGGAUAGAUAGAAGAAGGGGAGGAGAAUCGUUAGACUCACAGAAAGGGAGACGAGGAGAAGCAUACACUUUUCUCAAUAAUAUGCAUAAUCUCCAAAAUAACCAUCACUAUCCCUUUUUAACGAAACCUUCUUUGCGCCAAUACUCAACCUGGAUCCCAAAUCAACUUGGCCCUUUUGCUUGUUUUCGGCCCAAUA
rnacentral:lncRNA from 1 species